AGUUGUUUUUCAGCUACUUGGAAAUGUGCUGACUUCAAGACUCUGGAAUAAACUUUAACAUGGAAAUGAUUGCCAUACUUUAACAGGAGUGAAGAACUAAUUAGUAUCACUGAAAGAUUACUUGGGAGGUUUCAUAUAAAACAUCAUUUCACAAUGACGUUCUGUUGAAAUUUCAGUGAAAAAGUAUCUUUGAAUGAGAUUUAACAAGAAUUCAAGUAUAUCUAAGAAGUCAAGUAUAUAACCAAAUGGUAAUGGAAGGUUUCAGGGCUGAAAAAAUAAGUAUAAAGUGAAAGAGGAAAAGAUAAAAAUCUCUGCACUGUAUCCUGGGUGCCAGAGCCAGUUAGAUUUGAGGACUCAUACAAUAUUAACAGUGGCCAACAUUUGCUGAGCCCUCACUCUGGACUAGG
rnacentral:lncRNA from 1 species